UUCGAUUCAUUUUAUAAAAAUUGUAAUCAUAAGGAUGGCAUUAAUGUUCAUAAAGCAUUUAAAUAUAGUCAUUCCCUCUUGUGAAAGUAUAUCAUGGACCAUCAAAUCAACAAUAAGAAACAUUUAUGAUAAUUUACAGAUUUGAAGAUACAGGUGGACCACCACAAUUGGUUUAGUUCCUCUCUGAAAAUUUAUUUAACUUCUAUGCUUUUGAUAUUAAUCUUGCGGCCAUUUGAUGCAUAUAUAGGUAAGAGCUUCCAAAAUAAUGUUCUUAUUAUAUCAUGUUUUGCAGCAGAUCAUGGCUCAAGAUCACAAUGACAUCAGUUAUGCCCAUUUAGCAUCUUCUGCACAACUAUAAUUUCUGCAAGUGCAUAUUAGCAUAGGAUCAGCAAGUUAAUGUCAUCCAACUGCUUCAUGGUAAUAGAAGAUGAUAUAUCAUUAGAAACAUUUGGUUGAUGUUCACAGCCAUAAUCCAAUAUGAUUUACUCAUAUGUCUGUUUUAGCACAUGGACAUUCAAAGCUUUGAAAGAAAGAAGUAUGAAAGAAUAGAUAUCUACAAAAAUGAUUAUUUGUCUGAGAAGUAUAUACAAGACCAUUGCAGAAUAAAGAUAAAUAACAAGGAAAGAGGAAUUCUUCAUCCAAAAUUCAGGCGCUAACAUGCAAAAAAGCAGUGCAUCAAUAGCCAGUCAGUGUCUAUCCCUGACGGUGCUAUAUUAUAUUUCAUAUGCUGCUAACUUUUGUAAUUGUAAUAUAGUAGUUUACCUCCUCAGCUAGUGAGAAAUCCAGUCACAUAUUUAGGCCAGUGACUUCAAUCCAAAAGCUGAAUAGAAGUUUAGUAUUUGUGUUGCCGUAUUAAGCUUGGAAAAAUUUAAGUG
rnacentral:lncRNA from 1 species